rnacentral:miRNA from 8 species
AAAAAGUUUGUUUGGGGUUUUC